GCGCACCAGGCGCGAAAACUUUACAAUGUGCGAAAGCACGAUAAGGGAACUCUGAGUGCCUCCUAAGGAGGCUGUUCUGAUGUCUAAAAAGCAACAGAAGUAAGGGCUGGGUAAGACCGGUGCCAGCCGCCGCGGUAACACCGGCAGCCCAAGUGGUAGCCACGUUUAUUGGGUCUAAAGCGUUCGUAGCCGGCCAGGUAAGUUCCUUGGUAAAUUUAGCCGCUUAACGGUUAAGCUUUCGGGGAAUACUGCUUGGCUUGGGACUGGGAGAGGUCAGAGGUACUCCGGGGGUAGGGGUGAAAUCUAUUAAUCCCUGGGGGACCACCGGUAGCGAAGGCGUCUGACCAGACCAGGUCCGACGGUGAGGGACGAAGGCUAGGGGCGCGAACCGGAUUAGAUACCCCCGUA
rnacentral:rRNA from 1 species